UCAGGUUGCUGUGGGACCUCUGGCGGCCGAGCAAGGACUGUGGCAGAGCUUCUCCCGAAGCGGUAAGACGAACCAGCAAGGUGGUGGAGUUGCUCUUCCAGUGAGAGAAUGGGAACGUAUUGAGCUCUGCCUAGAGAUGAAUGAAGAGGUAGUGGAGCGCUUGCAUGUGAGGCUCCAGAGGCAGUUUUUCAACAGGAAAAAGGAGAGUACAGAAUGUGCGGGCCUCUGCUUUACAAGGUUGGUGCCAGAAUGCCUUUUUUGCUUCAGCGAUCACUGCUGAGACCGCUCAUUGGGAACCCUGGAUUCUGGCAGAACCGGCCAAAGAUCAUUUAGUCAAAAUGAAUGCCAGCAAAUCCCUGAGCUGUAAUGGGAUAUGGCUGUGUGUGUGCUGCGGGAGCUCUCACAUUUGUUCUGAUCUUUCCUUUAGGAAAAUGGCUGAAGACUGGAGGAAAAAUGAUGUCUCUGCAGCCUGGAGAAAGGGCAAGAAGGAUGGCUUUAUUUCCUUUCCUGGAAAGAUGAUAUAACAGCUUGUUCUAGAUGUCAUCUCCAAGUGACUGGAAGAGAGGAAAUGCCUAAGGAGCAGCCAGGGUCUGAAUGGAGUUAGGUGAGCAGUCCUUCUCUGCUGGAGUUUGGGGUCCUGGCAGUGGCUGCUGUGUUGGCUUUUGGUGCUUCUGAGGGGGAGUUGGAAAUUCCUAUUGCCCUUGGAAAACUAUUAAAAGAUAGCGCUGGAAAAUGUAGAAGCCAUCCGAACACUCUGGUGCUGUAGGAAAUGUGUCCCCAUGCAGCUCUCCAAUGGGAAGUGUGUCAUUGCUUCCAGGCUUUUGCAGCAAUUGGUACCUACCUGUCUGCUUAACAGGCAGAAGCCCUAAUAUUAAGCAUCUCAUUAGAAGAGCAGUAAAUGGUCCCGUCAAUGCUUCCAAAAAUGUUGAGAUGAAGCAGCUUUUCCACUCAUGGAAGGCUUGAGAUCCCUCAAAAACUUCACUAGAGUGUUCCUUCAGGUUAGCCAUGCCCCUAGCACUUAAGUUUCUUAUCUGGAAUCCCAGCAAAAUGGACUCGAGUACCUGCCUGAAGAAGAUUGAUUUUUGGGAGGCUCGUUUUCUUCGUUAGGUGAGAAUUUGUGCAUUGGAUGAAGGAAAGGUUACCAGUGAAAGCUAUCUGAAAACAUUCAUUUUUACAAACUGAAAAUAAAGAAGAGAAAGGAGGAAAUCAGUUUCAGUAGAACAUUUUUCAGCAACGGUCCCUUGUGUGGAAAUAUUUCCAACAAUAUGUAGUCUACAGUUUGCUGUCUAAAUCUCAUGUUAGAGGACCAAGAUUCUGCUGGCUUUUGGAACAUCUCU